UACACGACCGUACCGCAAACCGACACUGGUGCGCGAGAUGAGUAUUCUAAGGCGCUUGAGAGAACUCAGGAGAAGGAACUCGGCAAAUUGACACCGUAACUUCGGAAGAAGGUGUGCCUUUAGUAGGUGAACCAUUUACUUGGGGAGCCCAAUGAGGCUGCAAAAAAUCGGUGGCUGCAACUGUUUAUUAAAAACACAGCACUCUGCUAAGACGAAAGUCGACGUAUAGGGUGUGACGCCUGCCCGGUGCUGGAAGAUUAAAUGAUGGGGUGCAAGCUCUUGAUUGAAGUCCCAGUAAACGGCGGCCGUAACUAUAACGGUCCUAAGGUAGCGAAAUUCCUUGUCGGGUAAGUUCCGACCUGCACGAAUGGCGUAAUGAUGGCCACACUGUCUCCUCCUGAGACUCAGCGAAGUUGAAAUGUUUGUGAUGAUGCAAUCUCCCCGCGGAAAGACGGAAAGACCCCAUGAACCUUUACUGUAGCUUUGUAUUGGACUUUGAACAGAUCUGUGUAGGAUAGGUGGGAGGCUUUGAAGUGUGGUCGCUAGAUCGCAUGGAGCCAACGUUGAAAUACCACCCUGGUGUGUUUGAGGUUCUAACCUAGGUCCAUUAUCUGGAUCGGGGACAGUGCAUGGUAGGCAGUUUGACUGGGGCGGUCUCCUCCCAAAGUGUAACGGAGGAGUUCGAAGGUACGCUAGGUACGGUCGGACAUCGUGCUAAUAGUGCAAUGGCAUAAGCGUGCUUAACUGCGAGACUGACAAGUCGAGCAGAUGCGAAAGCAGGACAUAGUGAUCCGGUGGUUCUGUAUGGAAGGGCCAUCGCUCAACGGAUAAAAGGUACUCUGGGGAUAACAGGCUGAUACCGCCCAAGAGUUCAUAUCGACGGCGGUGUUUGGCACCUCGAUGUCGGCUCAUCUCAUCCUGGGGCUGUAGCCGGUCCCAAGGGUAUGGCUGUUCGCCAUUUAAAGAGGUACGUGAGCUGGGUUUAAAACGUCGUGAGACAGUUUGGUCCCUAUCUUCCGUGGGCGCUGCAGAUUUGAGGAAGCCUGCUCCUAGUACGAGAGGACCGGAGUGGACGAACCUCUGGUGUAUCGGUUGUCACGCCAGUGGCAUUGCCGAGUAGCUAAGUUCGGAAGAGAUAACCGCUGAAAGCAUCUAAGCGGGAAACUCGUUUCAAGAUUAGAUCUGCCGGGGCCUUGAGCCCCCUAAAGAGUCGUUCAAGACCAGGACGUUGAUAGGUCAGGUGUGGAAACAA
rnacentral:rRNA from 1 species